CACGUAGGGGGCAAGCGUUGUCCGGAUUUAUUGGGCGUAAAGAGCUCGUAGGCGGUUUCGUAAGUCGGAUGUGAAAACUCCAGGCUCAACUUGGAGACGCCAUUCGAUACUGCGAUGACUUGAGUCCGGUAGGGGAGUGUGGAAUUCCUGGUGUAGCGGUGAAAUGCGUAGAUAUCAGGAGGAACACCUGCGGUGUAGACGGCUUUCUGGACCAUUGCUGACGCUGAGACACGAAAGCGUGGGUAGCAAACAGG
rnacentral:rRNA from 1 species